rnacentral:rRNA from 1 species
GACGAACGCUGGCGGUGUGCUUAACACAUGCAAGUCGAACGGAAAGGCCCUGCUUUUGUGGGGUGCUCGAGUGGCGAACGGGUGAGUAACACGUGAGUAACCUGCCCUUGACUUUGGGAUAACUUCAGGAAACUGGGGCUAAUACCGGAUAGGAGCUCCUGCUGCAUGGUGGGGGUUGGAAAGUUUCGGCGGUUGGGGAUGGACUCGCGGCUUAUCAGCUUGUUGGUGGGUAGUGGCUUACCAAGGCUUUGACGGGUAGCCGGCCUGAGAGGGUGACCGGCCACAUUGGGACUGAGAUACGGCCCAGACUCCUACGGGAGGCAGCAGUGGGGAAUAUUGCACAAUGGGCGGAAGCCUGAUGCAGCAACGCCGCGUGCGGGAUGACGGCCUUCGGGUUGUAAACCGCUUUCGCCUGUGACGAAGCGUGAGUGACGGUAAUGGGUAAAGAAGCACCGGCUAACUACGUG